rnacentral:lncRNA from 13 species
CCCCCNNNNNNNNNNCGAGUGAGUAGUGAUGGCUGUUGGGGAAAGAGACAAGGCUUGGGGAGGAAAAAGCGAGGGAGAGAGAACAACAACAGAAAUAACCCAAGAGCUGCUCUCUCUCUCUCUCUCUCUCUCUGUGUCUCUCUCUCUCUCUUUCUCUCUCUCUACCACUCUGGACCUGCUGCUGCUUCAAAUAGCUGCUAGUGCUGAUGAGGUCUUUCCCAAUUUGUCGGGUAUUUGUCUCCUAAUCCUUUGGGCCUUCUGGGACUUUACUCCUCUCUGAUGAGGCUGGCGCUGCUUACACUUGAGAGGAGAUGAGAAGAAAAAAACAGGAUGCAAACACAACCUUGUGCUGAAGAGGAAACGUUCCAGUGUUUACAGCAACAAGACCUAUUCCUGACCAGGAUCAGAGCAGAGCGAGAGACAGAGAGGGAUGAGAGAAAUAGAGAGAGAUGACAGCGAGGUAGAGACAGGGGAAGGAGACCAGGCCAAGCUGAGCGAAUGAGAGAGACAGACAGAGAGAGAGACCAGUUGUUUAGUCUCGUUGCUAUAAAACAAAGCGUCAGAGUGGAGAAUCGCUCGGGAUCAACAAAAGACACUUUCAGCUCCUCAGGCGGCGAGGAGAGAAGAGGAGAGAAGAGGAGAGAGGAAGAGCGAUAUGGAGAGGAGAGAAGAGGAGAGGAAGUGAGAGGAGAGAGGAAGAGAAGAGAGGAGAGAACGUCAACCUUCUCUCCCUUACAGAAUUGCCAGGGCAGGACAGAGAGGAAUAACUCAGAGGCCAGGGCCCUUACAGAACCAUGUCUCUACUCCCAAAACCCUGUGAGAAGACAGGCUAACCACAACAAUGAGAAUGCACCCAAAACAAGCGUGCCAGGACAAAAUAAGGGAUUUUUGGGCAGAGAGGGAGGGAGGGAUCAUGGGAGGAGUGUGGGUCCACAGCGUGGGCAUAGCACAGAUUAGAAGCACAAAUCACAGAUGGCCGCUGCUUCUCCCCUAUUCACUGUAGCGCCACAAAUA